rfam:Bacillus badius strain MTCC 1458 Contig3, whole genome shotgun sequence.
GGGGACGUUACGGAUUCGACAGGGAUAGUUCGAGCUUGGGCUGCGAGCCGGAGGGCCGUCUUCGUACCAACGCAAACGCCUAAAUAUAACUGGCAAAAAAGAUUUAGCUUUAGCUGCCUAAUAUAGGUUCAGCUGCUCCUCCCGCUAUCGUCCAUGUAGUCGGGUAAGGGGUCCAAACUUAGUGGACUACGCCGGAGUUCUCCGCCUGGGGACAAAGGAAGAGAUCAAUCAGGCUAGCUGCCCGGACGCCCGUCGAUAGGCAAAAGGAACAGUGAACCCCAAAUAUAUCGACUACGCUCGUAGACGUUCAAGUGGCGUUAUCUUUGGACGUGGGUUCGACUCCCACCGUCUCCACCA